rnacentral:rRNA from 1 species
UACGUAGGGUGCGAGCGUUGCCCGGAUUUAUUGGGCGUAAAGGGCGCGUAGGCGGCCACGCACGUCCGUUGUGAAAUCGCCCGGCUCAACUGGGCGGGGUCAGCGGAUACGGUGUGGCUCGAGCAAGCUAGGGGGCAAUGGAAUUCCCGGUGUAGUGGUGGAAUGCGUAGAUAUCGGGAGGAACACCAGUGGCGAAGGCGGUUGCCUGGAGCUUUGCUGACGCUGAGGCGCGACAGCGUGGGGAGCAAACAGG